rnacentral:rRNA from 1 species
GAUGAACGCUGGCGGCGUGCCUAAUACAUGCAAGUCGAGCGAACGGACGAGAAGCUUGCUUCUCUGAUGUUAGCGGCGGACGGGUGAGUAACACGUGGAUAACCUACCUAUAAGACUGGGAUAACUUCGGGAAACCGGAGCUAAUACCGGAUAAUAUUUUGAACCGCAUGGUUCAAAAGUGAAAGACGGUCUUGCUGUCACUUAUAGAUGGAUCCGCGCUGCAUUAGAUAGUUGGUAAGGUAACGGCUUACCAAGGCAACGAUGCAUAGCCGACCUGAGAGGGUGAUCGGCCACCCUGGAACUGAGACACGGUCCAGACUCCUACGGGAGGCAGCAGUAGGGAAUCUUACGCAAUGGGCGAAAGCAUGACGGAGCAACGCCGCGUGAGUGAUGAAGGUCUUCGGAUCGUAAAACUCUGUUAUUAGGGAAGAACAUAUGUGUAAGUAACUGUGCACAUCUUGACGGUACCUAAUCAGAAAGCCACGGCUAACUACGUG